AGCAGCCGCGGUAAUUCCAGCUCCAAUAGCGUAUAUUAAAGUUGUUGCAGUUAAAAAAGCUCGUAGUUGAAUUUCGAGACCGGCUUACUGGUCGUGCUUUUGUACGUACUGGUAUAAUCGGUUUCUCCUUUCUGACGAACUAUAAUGCCAUUAAUUUGGUGUUAUAGGGAAUCAGGACUGUUACUUUAGAAAAAAUUAAGAGUAGUUUAAAGCAGGCUCACGCUUGAAUACAUUAGCAUGGAAUAACGGAAUAGGACGUUUGAUUCUAUUUUGUUGGUUUCUUAGGAUCGACGUAAUGAUUAAUAGGGAUAGUUGGGGGCGAUUAGUAUUCAAUUGUCAGAGGUGAAAUUCUUGGAUUUAUUUGAAGACUAACUACUGCGAAAGCAUUUGCCAAGGAUGUUUUCAUUAAUCAAGAACGAAAGUUAGGGGGAAUCGAAGACGAAUCAGAUACCGUCGUAGUCUUAACCCAUAAACUAUGCCGACUAGGGGAUCGGGAUGGUGUUAAUUUUUUAAAUUGACU
rnacentral:rRNA from 1 species